rnacentral:lncRNA from 1 species
GGGCCAUCCUUGAGCAUCCUCUUUGUUGGUGUGAGGCACCACAUUAGCACCUCUUCUUCCUCCUUUGGUUGCUUUGCAAAGGUGCUUUGAUUAGGAGAUUCAUCCCGCUUUCCUCUGUUGCCUAGAGUGCGUGCAAAGUAGAGGGCCUGCAGUUCCAGGCCUAUGCAAAGAUUGAAUCUAGAUUUUGGAUCCUCAAUUUCAUUACAAUCUAGGUAAGAAUCUUAUUCAUAUAGAUUGGUAGAAGAUUUUUAGAUGCAACCCUAGUUAUCCACAAGAAACUGAUUUCUUUCCCUUCAAUUGGAUCAGAGCCAGGCUUUGAUAUGUGGAUUCGUAACUAAUUUUUUUUGGAUUAUUUACAUAUUGUA